AGGAUAGGAGUUUAACAAAACAUAUAAAUUGCAAUUAUAAAAUAAAUUAGAUAAUUUCUAUCUUA
rnacentral:tRNA from 1 species